ACAAGCGGUGGAGUAUGUGGUUUAAUUCGACGCAACGCGCAGAACCUUACCAGGUCUUGACAUCCCGAUGCUAUUCUAGAGAUAGAAAGUUACUUCGGUACAUCGGUGACAGGUGGUGCAUGGUUGUCGUCAGCUCGUGUCGUGAGAUGUUGGGUUAAGUCCCGCAACGAGCGCAACCCUUGCCAUUAGUUGCUACGAAAGGGCACUCUAAUGGGACUGCCGGUGACAAACCGGAGGAAGGUGGGGAUGACGUCAAGUCCUCAUGGCCCUUAUAGGUGGGGCUACACACGUCAUACAAUGGCCGGUACAGAGGGUAGCCAACCCGCGAGGGGGAGCCAAUCCCACAAAGCCGGUCGUAGUCCGGAUCGCAGUCUGCAACUCGACUGCGUGAAGUCGGAAUCGCUAGUAAUCGUGGAUCAGCAUGUCACGGUGAAUACGUUCCCGGGUCUU
rnacentral:rRNA from 1 species